rnacentral:rRNA from 1 species
UGGGACUGAGACACGGUCCAGACUCCUACGGGAGGCAGCAGUGGGGAAUCUUGCGCAAUGGGCGAAAGCCUGAUGCAGCAACGCCGCGUGUGUGAUGAAGGUCUUCUGGAUUGUAAAGCACUUUCGACCGGGACGAAAACCCGUUGGCUAAUAUCCAGCGGCUUGACGGUACCGGGAGAAGAAGCACCGGCUAACUAUGUGCCAGCAGCCGUGGUAAUACAUAGGGU